GGUGAAAGACCUCGAGUCCCCAGUAUACUCAAAGCGUGGUCCUCGAGUCAGCAGAUCGGCACCACCUGGGAGCGUGUUAAAAAUGCUCAGACUUCGUCCCAAACCUAUUGAAUCAAAAUCAGCAUAUUUAGCAGGAGCCCAGGCUGGGGCCAUCACGUUUCAAGCAUGGAAUCGGUGGAAGGCCCCCAUAGGAAAACCCCUUUGGCCUUGGUUGUCGCGUGGCCUUUCUCGGAGCGUACAGGAGUAAAAAUGCAAAGACCCACACCAGGCUAAGAAUGUAAUCCCCAGAAGGACAAGAAUUUCUGUCUCUGUUCCCUGCUUUAUCCCCAGCACCUAGAUUAAUGCCUGGCACACAAUAUUUGCGCAGUAAGUAUUUAUUGAUGUCUGUGAUACCCUUCUUAAUGUCAAA